GAAGAUCUGGGCCAUCAAAUAAAAUUACAAAGAUGAUCUAAGGCUGGAAUUCUUUGUCCAAAUCCAAAAUAAACUCCCCCUCUCUCGAUCCUCUCCCCCCAGAAAAAAAACCCCAAAUUCUCUCUCCUCUCACCAUUUGAUUUCUAGGAACUUAAGCAAAUUCAUGGUAAUUAAUUUUGCUACUGGUGAGGGUAAGCCGCAAGCAACGAGUGAGAAUUUGAAGUUAAAGAUCUAUUCUAUUUGUUGAAUAAAAUGCAUGUUCAAUCUUAGCAUUAAUUUGGAAAACUCCAUUUGUUUUUUUCCCUCAAUCUGAAGCCAUAAUUUAGUUAGUUUGUUUUUGUGUUUGUGCGUGUGAAGAUUUGAGAAUGUUCCAGAAAUGGGGUUGUUUUGGAAUUGUCCAGAUUUUUUAUUAUGAUAGUUGAGAAAGAAAGAGAAGGUUGAAGAAGAUGAAAGUUGAAGAAGAAGGUUCAAACGUGAUUUCUCUCUCCUAAAAGGCUGAUUCUUACGCUCUCAAGUCUCACUUUCAAUCAAUGAUUCAAAAUUCUGGUAAGAAUUUGUUUAAUCUUUUUAUUUUUUACAUUUGCAAAUCGAAUUUCACUCAAUUUUUCUGUAGUUGAGUUUUUCCCCAAUUUUUCUAGGGUUUUACGUUCAAUUGCGAUUUUCUUUCAUGUUCAUCUGCAAUUUUGCGAUAGUUUUCGUCGGAGAAGGUGAAUGUGGUUUUCAAGUGUCAAGUUUAGAUAUAUAUCUCAAGUCUCAAUUUCACACAAUUUUUGCGAUAUUUUUGUAAUUGCCAUUGAUGAACGGCGAGCAGCUUAUAGAAGGCGAUAGUGAGCGGUCGGAAGUAGUGAUAGUUAGAGAAGGUGAGAAGAGAGAGAAAAGGUGUGGCCGCCAUUUUUAUCUGUUCUGCUCUUUUAUUUAGGUGCACUUUUAUUUUAGAGUAUUUUUGUGUGUGUGUGUGUGUGUGUUCGUUUGUUUAAUUAGAGGGCGAAGGACUUGGAAGAACUCAACAAGGGAUGAGAGAAGCUUUAAUUGGCAUUUGAAAAAAAGGUACUGCUGGAUUGGGAUGGAAAUCGAGGUGAAGAGGACGCUAGAACUCACUUUGACAGAAUUCAAGCAACAUGACAUUACACUAGGAUGCAGAGUUAGCAUAGUUAUUAUGUGUUGCACUUGAAAUUGUAUCGUGGAGUUAUAGUGCAUUAAAGCUUAGCUAAUCCGUAUGCGAGACUCUAGGAAGUAGACAAACAAAAACCUAAUAGUAUUAAUCAAUUAUGUGUUGGUUUGUUUGUUCAUGUGUUCGCAAUUUUGGUGGAAAUGUAAAUGAUUUUGUGUUU